rnacentral:misc_RNA from 1 species
CAACCCUCAGGCCCUGCCUGGUGUUGGAGGACUGCGCAUGCAGCCUCCCAAAGACAGCGGCGGCGGCGCCCCAAAACCGAACGCAGUAGUUACUUCUCGUUCUGGGUCUGGGUCGUUGUCCUGCCGGAAAACCCCCAUCUUUUACAU